GGUGGGUAGUCCGCACGAGCGCACCCUUAUCCUUAGUUGCCAGCACGUAAUGGUGGGAACUCUAAGGAGACUGCCGGUGACAAACCGGAGGAAGGUGGGGACGACGUCAAGUCAUCAUGGCCCUUACGAGAUGGGCUACACACGUGCUACAAUGGCAAGUACAAAGGGUUGCAAACUCGCGAGAGUAAGCGGAUCCCAUAAAGCUUGUCGUAGUCCGGAUUGGAGUCUGCAACUCGACUCCAUGAAGUCGGAAUCGCUAGUAAUCGUGGAUCAGAAUGCCACGGUGAAUACGUUCCCGGGCCUUGUACACACCGCCCGUCACACCAUGGGAGUGGGCUGCAAAAGAAGUGGAUAGCUUAACCUUCGGGAGGGCGUUCACCACUUUGUGGUUCAUGACUGGGGUGAAGUCGUAACAAGGUAGCCGUAGGGGAACCUGCGGCUGGAUCACCUCCUU
rnacentral:rRNA from 1 species